rnacentral:rRNA from 1 species
GAUGAACGCUGGCGGCGUGCCUAAUACAUGCAAGUCGAGCGAAGCGGCGGACGGGUGAGUAAUGCCUAGGAAUCUGACUGGUAGUGGGGGAUAACGUCCGGAAACGGGCGCUAAUACCGCAUACUAUCAGAUAAGCCUAGGUCGGAAUAGCUAGUUGGGUGGGUAAAGGCCUACCAAGGCGACGAUCCGUAACUGGUCGGAGAGGAUGAUAAGCCACACUGGGACUGACACACGGUCCAGACUCCAACGCGAGGCAGCAGUGGGGAAUCUUGGACAAUGGCCGAAAGGCUGAUCCAGCCAUGCCGCGGAUGUGAAGAAGGUCUACGGCUUGUAAAGCACUUAAAGUAGGGAGGCGUUACCCACAGAAUAAGCACCGGCUAACUUCGUGCCAGCAGCCGCGGUAAUUC